UACGUAGGGUGCGAGCGUUAAUCGGAAUUACUGGGCGUAAAGCGUGCGCAGGCGGUCUGUUAAGACCGAUGUGAAAUCCCCGGGCUUAACCUGGGAACUGCAUUGGUGACUGGCAGGCUUUGAGUGUGGCAGAGGGAGGUAGAAUUCCACGUGUAGCAGUGAAAUGCGUAGAGAUGUGGAGGAAUACCGAUGGCGAAGACAGCCUCCUGGGCCAACACUGACGCUCAUGCACGAAAGCGUGGGGAGCAAACAGG
rnacentral:rRNA from 1 species